UACGAGUGGUGCAAGCGUUAUUCGGAAUCAUUGGGCGUACAGGGCGUGUAGGUGGCAUGUUAAGUCUGCUGUUAAAUCCUCUGGCCUAACUAGAGAUAGGCGGUGGAAACUGGCGUGCUUGAGGGUGGAAGAGAGAAGUGGAAUUCUCGGUGUAGCGGUAAAAUGCGUAGAUAUCGAGAGGAACACCGAUGGCGAAGGCAGCUUCUUGGUCCACUCCUGACACUGAGACGCGAAAGCGUGGGGAG
rnacentral:rRNA from 1 species